rnacentral:tRNA from 1 species
GGCGGGGUAGCUCAGUGGUUAGAGCAUUCGCUUCAUAAGCGAAGUGUCGCCGGUUCAAUCCCGGCCCCCGCUA